CCUACGGGAGGCUGCAGUGGGGAAUAUUGGGCAAUGGGCGCAAGCCUGACCCAGCAACGCCGCGUGAAGGAAGAAGGCUUUCGGGUUGUAAACUUCUUUUGACAGGGAAGAGCAGAAGACGGUACCUGUCGAAUAAGCCACGGCUAACUACGUGCCAGCAGCCGCGGUAAUACGUAGGUGGCAAGCGUUGUCCGGAUUUACUGGGGGUAAAGGGCGUGUAGCCGGGCUGACAAGUCAGAUGUGAAAUCCGGGGGCUCAACCCCCGAACUGCAUUUGAAACUGUUGGUCUUGAGUAUCGGAGAGGCAGGCGGAAUUCCUAGUGUAGCGGUGAAAUGCGUAGAUAUUAGGAGGAACACCAGUGGCGAAGGCGGCCUGCUGGACGACAACUGACGGUGAGGCGCGAAAGCGUGGGGAGCAAACAGGAUUAGAUACCCGUGUAGUC
rnacentral:rRNA from 1 species